GACGAACGCUGGCGGCGUGCUUAAUACAUGCAAGUCGAACGGAAAGGCCCUGCUUUUGUGGGGUUCACGAUAGGCGAACGGGUGAGUAACACGUGUGUAACCUGCCCUUGACUUUGGGAUAACUUCAGGAAACUGGGGCUAAUACCCGAUAGGAGCUCUUGCUGCACGGUGGGGGUUGGAAAGUGUCGGCGGUGCUGGAUGGACUCGCGGCUUAUCAGCUUGUUUGUGUGGUAGUGGCUUACCAAGGCUUUGACGGGUAGCCGGCCUGAGAGGGUGACCGGCCACCUUGGGACUGAGAUACGGCCCAGACUCCUACGGGACGCAGCAGUGGGGAAUAUUGCACAAUGGGCGGAAGCCUGAUGCAGCAACGCCGCGUGCGGGAUAACUGCCUUCGGGUUGUAAACCGCUUUCGCAUGUGACGAAGCGUGAGUGACGGUAAUGGGUAAAGAAGCACCGGCUAACUACGUG
rnacentral:rRNA from 1 species